rnacentral:tRNA from 1 species
GGGCCAGUAGCUCAGCGGUAGAGCUCCCGCUUCCUAUGCGGGAAGAUCUGGGUUCGAUUUUCGGCUCCU